rnacentral:lncRNA from 1 species
GGGCAGAGAGGAAAGCAGACUUUCCAGUGAGCAGGGAGCCUGAUGCAAGUCUCUAUCCUAGGACCCUGGGAUCAUGACCUGAGUUGAAGGCAGCCACUUAACCAACCGAGCCACCCACGUGCCCUACUUGCUACAGUUCUAUUCAGAAGAAUCUCUCACUUGAUUGGAUCCAGCCUCCCCUUACCUCCCCUACUGUGGAAGAGUAACCAUAGCUUAUGAUCUGUCACCUUAGCACAAAUCUCUGCUGCUUAAAACCCAACUAUGCCUGUCCCUUGGAAGAUGAAGAAUCUGGUACAGAAUGAAGAUAGUCUGUGGGUUUUAUGAAACAUGAAAAAGAAAAGAGAUCUCAAGUGUAGAUACUUGGAAGGCAUGUGAAGAACAUUAGGACUGAAAAGGAUGAGAGUGAUAUCAGGAAGAUUGUGUCUUCAAAAGUAAAGACCAUAGGAGAACCCAGAACCAGUGGAACUUGCUACUUAACUACUCUAAGUUGUGAGCUGCCAACUAUUACCAAGGCCACCUGUUUGCAUGAAUUGUGUUCAUAAAGUCAAACAUGUUGAAGAAGAUAGGAGGGAAAUAUUCUUGCUAUGGACUUCAUUGUGC